rnacentral:rRNA from 1 species
GAUGAACGCUGGCGGCGUGCUUAACACAUGCAAGUCGAACGGAAAGGCCCAAGCUUGCUUGGGUACUCGAGUGGCGAACGGGUGAGUAACACGUGGGUGAUCUGCCCUGCACUUCGGGAUAAGCCUGGGAAACUGGGUCUAAUACCGGAUAGGACCACUUCUUGGAUGUUGUGGUGGAAAGUUUUUUCGGUGUGGGAUGAGCUCGCGGCCUAUCAGCUUGUUGGUGGGGUAAUGGCCUACCAAGGCGUCGACGGGUAGCCGGCCUGAGAGGGUGUACGGCCACAUUGGGACUGAGAUACGGCCCAGACUCCUACGGGAGGCAGCAGUGGGGAAUCUUGCACAAUGGGCGCAAGCCGGAUGCAGCGACGCCGCGGGGGGGAUGACGGCCUUCGGGUUGGAAACUCCUUUCGCUAGGGACGAAGCGUUUUGUGACGGUACCUGGAGAAGAAGCACCGGCUAACUACGUG